GACGAACGCUGGCGGCGUGCCUAAUACAUGCAAGUAGAACGCUGAAGGAGGAGCUUGCUCUUCUGGAUGAGUUGCGAACGGGUGAGUAACGCGUAGGUAACCUGCCUGGUAGCGGGGGAUAACUAUUGGAAACGAUAGCUAAUACCGCAUAAGAGUAGAUGUCGCAUGACAUUUGCUUAAAAGGUGCAAUUGCAUCACUACCAGAUGGACCUGCGUUGUAUUAGCUAGUUGGUGAGGUAACGGCUCACCAAGGCAACGAUACAUAGCCGACCUGAGAGGGUGAUCGGCCACACUGGGACUGAGACACGGCCCAGACUCCUACGGGAGGCAGCAGUAGGGAAUCUUCGGCAAUGGACGGAAGUCUGACCGAGCAACGCCGCGUGAGUGAAGAAGGUUUUCGGAUCGUAAAGCUCUGUUGUAAGAGAAGAACGAGUGUGAGAGUGGAAAGUUCACACUGUGACGGUAUCUUACCAGAAAGGGACGGCUAACUACGUGCCAGCAGCCGCGGUAAUACGUAGGUCCCGAGCGUUGUCCGGAUUUAUUGGGCGUAAAGCGAGCGCAGGCGGGUAGAUAAGUCUGAAGUUAAAGGCUGUGGCUUAACCAUAGUACGCUUUGGAAACUAUUUUACUUGAGUGCAAGGGGGGAGAGUGGGAAUUCCAUGUGUAGCGGGAAAAGCGCAGAUAUAUGGAGGAAAACCCGUGGCGAAAACGGUCUCUGGCUUGUGACUGACACUGAGGCUCUAAAGCGUGGGGAGCAAAAAGG
rnacentral:rRNA from 1 species